GACGAACGCUGGCGGCGUGCUUAACACAUGCAAGUCGAACGGAAAGGCCCUGCUUUUGUGGGGUGCUCGAGUGACGAACGGGUGAGUAACACGUGAGUAACCUGCCCUUGACUUUGGGAUAACUUCAGGAAACUGGGGCUAAUACCGGAUAGGAGCUCCUGCUGCAUGGUGGGGGUUGGAAAGUUUCGGCGGUUGGGGAUGGACUCGCGGCUUAUCAGCUUGUUGGUGGGGUAGUGGCUUACCAAGGCUUUGACGGGUAGCCGGCCUGAGAGGGUGACCGGCCACAUUGGGACUGAGAUACGGCCCAGACUCCUACGGGGGGCAGCAGUGGGGAAUAUUGCACAAUGGGCGGAAGCCUGAUGCAGCAACGCCGCGUGCGGGAUGACGGCCUUCGGGUUGUAAACCGCUUUCGCCUGUGACGAAGCGUGAGUGACGGUAAUGGGUAAAGAAGCACCGGCUAACUACGUG
rnacentral:rRNA from 1 species